rnacentral:tRNA from 1 species
GCCGCAGUAGUUUAAAUAAGACAUUAGCUUGUGGUGCUAAAAAUGGAACUAUCCCUGCAGCU